rnacentral:rRNA from 1 species
UACGUAGGGGGCGAGCGUUGUCCGGAUUCAUUGGGCGUAAAGAGCUCGUAGGCGGCUUGGCAAGCCGGGUGUGAAAACUCCAGGCUCAACCUGGAGACGCCACCCGGGACUGCUAUGGCUAGAGUCCGGUAGGGGAUCACGGAAUUCCUGGUGUAGCGGUGAAAUGCGCAGAUAUCAGGAAGAACACCCGUGGCUAAGGCGGCUCUCUAGUACGGUACUGACGCUGAGACGCGAAAGCGUGGGGAGCGAACAGG